GGAUGAACGCUAGCUACAGGCUUACCACAUGCAAGUCGCGGGGCAGCAUGGGGGUUGCUUGCAAUCCCCGAUGGCGACCGGCGCACGGGUGAGUAACGCGUAUCCAACCUGCCCUUCACCACGGGAUAACCCGGCGAAAGUCGGACUAAUACCGUAUGUUGUCCAUUGACGGCAUCCGAUUUGGACGACAGGUUUGGCGGUGAAGGAUGGGGAUGCGUCCGAUUAGCUGGACGGCGGGGUGACGGCCCACCGUGGCGACGAUCGGUAGGGGUUCUGAGAGGAAGGUCCCCCACACUGGAACUGAGACACGGUCCAGACUCCUACGGGAGGCAGCAGUGAGGAAUAUUGGUCAAUGGGCGUAAGCCUGAACCAGCCAAGUAGCGUGCAGGAUGACGGCCCUAUGGGUUGUAAACUGCUUUUAUGCGGGGAUAAAGUGGCCCACGUGUGGGUUUUUGCAGGUACCGCAUGAAUAAGGACCGGCUAAUUCCGUG
rnacentral:rRNA from 1 species